rnacentral:rRNA from 1 species
UGGGGAAUAUUGCACAAUGGGGGAAACCCUGAUGCAGCGACGCCGCGUGAAGGAAGAAGUAUCUCGGUAUGUAAACUUCUAUCAGCAGGGAAGAAAGUGACGGUACCUGACUAAGAAGCCCCGGCUAAUUACGUGCCAGCAGCCGCGGUAAUACGUAAGGGGCAAGCGUUAUCCGGAUUUACUGGGUGUAAAGGGAGCGUAGACGGAGAGGCAAGUCUGAUGUGAAAGGCAUGGGCUCAACCUGUGGACUGCAUUGGAAACUGUUUUUCUAGAGUGCCGGAGAGGCAGGCGGAAUUCCUAGUGUAGCGGUGAAAUGCGUAGAUAUUAGGAGGAACACCAGUGGCGAAGGCGGCCUGCUGGACGGUAACUGACGUUGAGGCUCGAAAGCGUGGGGAGCAAACAGG